CCCUAAGGCGAGGCCGAAAGGCGUAGUCGAUGGGAAACGGGUUAAUAUUCCCGUACUUGGUGUUACUGCGAAGGGGGGACGGAGAAGGCUAUGUUGGCCGGGCGACGGUUGUCCCGGUUUAAGCGUGUAGGUGUGUGUUCCAGGUAAAUCCGGUUCACUUUAACACUGAGGCGUGACGACGAGGCACUACGGUGCUGAAGCAACAAAUGCCCUGCUUCCAGGAAAAGCCUCUAAGCAUCAGGUAACAUCAAAUCGUACCCCAAACCGACACAGGUGGUCAGGUAGAGAAUACCAAGGCGCUUGAGAGAACUCGGGUGAAGGAACUAGGCAAAAUGGUGCCGUAACUUCGGGAGAAGGCACGCUGACACGUAGGUGAAGUGAUUUACUCAUGGAGCUGAAGUCAGUCGAAGAUACCAGCUGGCUGCAACUGUUUAUUAAAAACACAGCACUGUGCAAACACGAAAGUGGACGUAUACGGUGUGACGCCUGCCCGGUGCCGGAAGGUUAAUUGAUGGGGUCAGCGCAAGCGAAGCUCCUGAUCGAAGCCCCGGUAAACGGCGGCCGUAACUAUAACGGUCCUAAGGUAGCGAAAUUCCUUGUCGGGUAAGUUCCGACCUGCACGAAUGGCGUAAUGAUGGCCAGGCUGUCUCCACCCGAGACUCAGUGAAAUUGAACUCGCUGUGAAGAUGCAGUGUACCCGCGGCAAGACGGAAAGACCCCGUGAACCUUUACUAUAGCUUGACACUGAACAUUGAGCCUUGAUGUGUAGGAUAGGUGGGAGGCUUUGAAGUGUGGACGCCAGUCUGCAUGGAGCCGACCUUGAAAUACCACCCUUUAAUGUUUGAUGUUCUAACGUGGACCCGUGAUCCGGGUUGCGGACAGUGUCUGGUGGGUAGUUUGACUGGGGCGGUCUCCUCCUAAAGAGUAACGGAGGAGCACGAAGGUUGGCUAAUCCUGGUCGGACAUCAGGAGGUUAGUGCAAUGGCAUAAGCCAGCUUGACUGCGAGCGUGACGGCGCGAGCAGGUGCGAAAGCAGGUCAUAGUGAUCCGGUGGUUCUGAAUGGAAGGGCCAUCGCUCAACGGAUAAAAGGUACUCCGGGGAUAACAGGCUGAUACCGCCCAAGAGUUCAUAUCGACGGCGGUGUUUGGCACCUCGAUGUCGGCUCAUCACAUCCUGGGGCUGAAGUAGGUCCCAAGGGUAUGGCUGUUCGCCAUUUAAAGUGGUACGCGAGCUGGGUUUAGAACGUCGUGAGACAGUUCGGUCCCUAUCUGCCGUGGGCGCUGGAGAACUGAGGGGGGCUGCUCCUAGUACGAGAGGACCGGAGUGGACGCAUCACUGGUGUUCGGGUUGUCAUGCCAAUGGCACUGCCCGGUAGCUAAAUGCGGAAGAGAUAAGUGCUGAAAGCAUCUAAGCACGAAACUUGCCCCGAG
rnacentral:rRNA from 1 species